rnacentral:rRNA from 1 species
UACGUAGGUGGCAAGCGUUGUCCGGAAUUACUGGGCGUAAAGGGCGUGUAGGCGGCCAUUUAAGUCAGGCGUGAAAACUCUGAGCUCAACUUGGAGAUUGCGUUUGAAACUGGGUGGCUAGAGGAUCGGAGAGGGCAGUGGAAUUCCCAGUGUAGCGGUGAAAUGCGUAGAUAUUGGGAAGAACACCAGUGGCGAAGGCGGCUGCCUGGACGACACCUGACGCUGAGGCGCGAAAGCUAGGGGAGCAAACGGG